rnacentral:rRNA from 1 species
AAAUGAAUUGACGGGGGCCCGCACAAGCAGUGGAGUAUGUGGAUUAAUUCGAAGCAACGCGAAGAACCUUACCAGGUCUUGACAUCCUAUGAAUCCCUCAGAGACGAGGGAGUGCCCUUCGGGGAGCAUAGAGACAGGUGGUGCAUGGUUGUCGUCAGCUCGUGUCGUGAGAUGUUGGGUUAAGUCCCGCAACGAGCGCAACCCUUAUCAUUAGUUGCUACGCAAGAGCACUCUAAUGAGACUGCCGUUGACAAAACGGAGGAAGGUGGGGAUGACGUCAAAUCAUCAUGCCCCUUAUGACCUGGGCCUCACACGUACUACAAUGGCUAUUAACAAAGGGAAGCUAAGCCGCGAGGUGGAGCAAAUCCCCAAAAAUAGUCUCAGUUCGGAUUGCAGGCUGAAACUCGCCUGCAUGAAGUCGGAAUUGCUAGUAAUCGUAGGUCAGCAUACUACGGUGAAUACGUUCCCGGGCCUUGUACACACCGCCCGU